rnacentral:tRNA from 1 species
CCGUCGAUAGCUCAGUUGGUAGAGCGGUGGACUGUAGAGGCUGUCAAUUGCGGGAAUCCAUAGGUCGCUGGUUCAAAUCCGGCUCGACGGA